ACCUUAUGUAGGCCUACAAGACAAAAUAGGUGAUGUGGAAACGCUAAACCAUGACCAUUAAACCAUUCAAAGCACUGUUACAUAAAAUAAGUUUCACUAUUGCAAAAACAAUUUGCACACAAACAUUUCCUCACAUCCUCACGAACUUGCCAUGUUUACACUUACAAAAGGACCAAUUAAUUAAGAGGCACUUAAAACGUACUUCAAAAACGAAUGGCUGUACGGCAGUGGCAAAUAAGCAACCGUUUGGAAAUACACCUUUCGUCACCACAACAACAGACAAGAUCUUUCACGGCGGAAAGCGACAAAUCAUGCGCUUCGAGGUUAACAGUCUCCCUGGUGAGUCCAAUCUGAAGUAGAAAAGAGACUCCGUGAAAAGAGCAGCGGGAGAGCGUGGGGCUCGGAGCGCUCAGGCUACCGUUGGAUAGGCGGCUGUAGAGUGUAGCCGGCGGGCUAGGGGACGGCGAGGGAGUCGGUGGAGCAGCUGGAUGUUGAGAGUUGGAGUACGCUUUUGGUAAGGACGAAGGAGAAGGGCUGCCGGAAGACAUUGGGUUUCUUCCUUAUAUUGAGAUGAUGACAAUGUGAAAAAGUAUUUCUUAUGUGGUGUUGGACUCACUAUAUCAAAAUUUAAAGGAUGCAAUAGCCUAGCUAUUUAGCCCCCAAAAGUGCAUUGGCAGCGCUGUUUACUUGAAUAUGGAAACACGGUGCAUUGAAUGACAAGGGUGGCAACAAAAGAGUCUACAACUGACAGAUAGUAUGUUACACUGUUUCUUUGCAUACAUUUUAGAUACAAAUGUGGGGGUUAAACGUUGCCAAACCGCCUUUUGAUUCCGACAUCAUCCUCGCUCGCAGUUAUUUCCAGUCAUCCGUUGAAAAUUCAAUGACACGUGUACAAACAAACAGUACAAAAA